GAGUCUUCCUUGAUUCAGCGGCGGACGGGUGAGUAAUGCCUAGGAAUCUGCCUGGUAGUGGGGGACAACGUUUCGAAAGGAACGCUAAUACCGCAUACGUCCUACGGGAGAAAGCAGGGGACCUUCGGGCCUUGCGCUAUCAGAUGAGCCUAGGUCGGAUUAGCUAGUUGGUGGGGUAAUGGCUCACCAAGGCGACGAUCCGUAACUGGUCUGAGAGGAUGAUCAGUCACACUGGAACUGAGACACGGUCCAGACUCCUACGGGAGGCAGCAGUGGGGAAUAUUGGACAAUGGGCGAAAGCCUGAUCCAGCCAUGCCGCGUGUGUGAAGAAGGUCUUCGGAUUGUAAAGCACUUUAAGUUGGGAGGAAGGGCAGUAAGCUAAUACCUUGCUGUUUUGACGUUACCGACAGAAUAAGCACCGGCUAACUCUGUGCCAGCAGCCGCGGUAAUACAGAGGGUGCAAGCGUUAAUCGGAAUUACUGGGCGUAAAGCGCGCGUAGGUGGUUUGUUAAGUUGGAUGUGAAAGCCCCGGGCUCAACCUGGGAACUGCAUCCAAAACUGGCAAGCUAGAGUACGGUAGAGGGUGGUGGAAUUUCCUGUGUAGCGGUGAAAUGCGUAGAUAUAGGAAGGAACACCAGUGGCGAAGGCGACCACCUGGACUGAUACUGACACUGAGGUG
rnacentral:rRNA from 1 species